rnacentral:rRNA from 1 species
AGAGUUUGAUCAUGGCUCAGAUUGAACGCUGGCGGCAGGCCUAACACAUGCAAGUCGAGCGGUAACAGGAAGAAAGUUUACUUUCUUUGCUGACGAGUGGCGAACGGGUGAGUAAUGGCUGGGAACCUGCCCUGAUGUGGGGGAUAACAGUUGGAAACGACUGCUAAUACCGCAUGAUGUCUUAGGAUCAAAGAGGAGGACCUUCGGGCUUCUCGCGUCAGGAUGGGCCCAGUUGGGAUUAGCUAGUUGGUGAGGUAAUGGCUCACCAAGGCAACUAUCCCUAGCUGGUUUGAGAGGAUGAUCAGCCACACUGGAACUGAGACACGGUCCAGACUCCUACGGGAGGCAGCAGUGGGGAAUAUUGCACAAUGGGCGCAAGCCUGAUGCAGCCAUGCCGCGUGUGUGAAGAAGGCCUUCGGGUUGUAAAGCACUUUCAGCAGUAAGGAAGGU